rnacentral:rRNA from 1 species
UACAGAGGGUGCAAGCGUUAAUCGGAAUUACUGGGCGUAAAGCGUGCGUAGACGGUUAUGUAAGUCAGGUGUGAAAGCCCCGGGCUCAACCUGGGAAUGGCAUUUGAGACUGCAUAGCUAGGGUGCGGAAGAGGGAAGCGGAAUUUCCGGUGUAGCGGUGAAAUGCGUAGAUAUCGGGAGGAACACCUGCGGUGUAGACGGCUUACUGGACCAUAACUGACGCUGAGGCACGAAAGCGUGGGUAGCAAACAGG